rnacentral:sRNA from 1 species
GUUUAGCCCUCCCGAUGGUAAUCGGGAUACGCGGUAUCCUUUUGUGUUUGCAGCAGCAAACGCAAAAGAUAAAGCGGAUAGCGGAAGUGAGU